ACUGCGGAAGGCCGCAGGGACCUCUGCCUAGGAAAGCCAGAGACCUUUGUUCACCUGUUUAUCUGCUGACCUUCUCUCCACUAUUAUCCUAUGACCCUGCCACAUCCCCCUCUCCGAGAAACACCCAAGAAUGAUCAAUAAAUACUAAGGGAACUCAGAGGCCGGCAGGAUCCUCCAUAUGCUGAACGCUGGUCCCCUGGGCCCCCUUAUUUCUUUCUCUAUA